UUGAUAACUGUGAUACUUUCUGCAUUAUUAGUAGGAUGACAAACACACAUAAUAGCAAUUCUCAAACCGAAAGGAAUGCAGCCUCAAUGGGAGAUAAAAAUCCCAGCCAACAGGAUGGUUUGAGGGGAAAAAUAUCGAUAAUGAAGUGGGGUUAUUGAAUUAACUGUUCCAUUUAGCAGACACUCUGCAGAACCACGGCGUGCAACGACUGUGACUGCUGUGACAGAGCUGCUGGAGACAUGGGGAUUGGGGGCCACCAGGCUGACUCCGCCACAAACUCAGGGCUGGGCUGCCACACAGCUCAGCAGCUGCAUAGUGCAGAACAGACUUAGAGAUGUCGGCUAUGUGACAAGUGUGUGCAAGGGGGUCGUAGGGCUCUGGUCUCCUACCUGCAAGGACUCCUGUGACACGUGACUGUCCCCCUGGGACUGCUGAAAUCUCUGGAGUGUUUGCAGUGUAGUUCAGCCCACCUGGGUUGUUUCGUGGAGCACAGCUGCAUCCCACCUGGGUUGGUCCAAGGUGCGGGGCAAGGGCAGUGGGCCCGCUGUAACCUCAUCCACAGACUUAAAUAUUUGCAAACAAAAUUGCAUCUGUGUUGAACAGGUCCAGACUUCUUUUUUCCUGGUUAUUAUUUCAUAAACAUAUUUUUUUAUUUCAUUAAUAAAGUAACAAUGUUCUACAUAGCUUUUUCAUUGUGUUAGCUGUUUUAAGUGGUCUAGAGAUGAUUUAAAGUAUAGGGGAGGGUGUGUCUAGGUUAUUUGCAAAUACUGUGCCGUUUACAUAAGGGACUUGAGCAUGGGAGGAUUUUGGACUCUGCAGAGCAGGUGUGUCCCCGGAAACAUCGAGGGAGCACUUGGCAGAACUUCCCUUCUUUCUUUGUUGGGUAAAUGUGUCCAUCUCUCUGCAGUCCCCCAGGGUGCACAGCAAGGGUCCUGGUGGCUUUCUGUUGCUUCAGUGAACCAGGGUUUAUGACAUCACCAUUCACCAGCAUGCAUUGCUCUCUGGGUCUGUUUUUCCCACAGGGCAUCACUGUAGCUGUUCUGCAUCCCUCUUGUCCAAGUUGCCUGCCCUCUCCUCUCAGGAAUAUAUUCUUCCCUCUUCCAUAUUUACAGAAAAGCUGGACUUUUAAGAGAUUCCAGGAAACAUCCUCAGCCACAUUCAGUUUUGGAAGAUGA
rnacentral:lncRNA from 1 species